GACGAACGCUGGCGGCGUGCUUAACACAUGCAAGUCGAACGGAAAGGCCCUGCUUUUGUGGGGUGCUCGAGUGGCGAACGGGUGAGUAACACGUGAGUAACCUGCCUUUGACUUUGGGAUAACUUCAGGAAACUGGGGCUAAUACCGGAUAGGAGCUCCUGCUGCAUGGUGGGGGUUGGAAAGUUUCGGCGGUUGGGGAUGGACUCGCGGCUUAUCAGCUUGUUGGUGGGGUAGUGGCUUACCAAGGCUUUGACGGGUAGCCGGCCUGAGAGGGUGACCGGCCACAUUGGGACUGAGAUACGGCCCAGACUCCUACGGGAGGCAGCAGUGGGGAAUAUUGCACAAUGGGCGGAAGCCUGAUGCAGCAACGCCGCGUGCGGAAUGACGGCCUUCGGGUUGUAAACCGCUUUCGCCUGUGACGAAGCGUGAGUGACGGUAAUGGGUAAAGAAGCACCGGCUAACUACGUG
rnacentral:rRNA from 1 species